rnacentral:tRNA from 1 species
GGUCAGGUAGCUCAGUCGGUAGAGCGCGGGUCUGAAAAACCUGAGGUCGUCGGAUCGAUGCCGACCCUGACCA